UGCCCAGCAACUCCUUUCUACCUCCUCGUGGUACUGGCCGGGGUACGAGCAACCUUAGGGAAGAUCGGGUAACGAACCCCGGUGGGAACUUUAGUCGUAUUCUGCAGGGCAGG
rnacentral:ribozyme from 1 species